CUGACCCCGACCACCCCGCAG
rnacentral:miRNA from 1 species